UCUAUACCGUGAAACUGCGAAUGGCUCAUUAAAUCAGUUAUCGUUUAUUUGAUAGUACCUUACUACUUGGAUAACCGUGGUAAUUCUAGAGCUAAUACAUGCUAAAAACCCCGACUUCGGAAGGGGUGUAUUUAUUAGAUAAAAAACCAAUGCCCUUCGGGGCUCCUUGGUGAUUCAUAAUAACUUAACGAAUCGCAUGGCCUUGUGCCGGCGAUGGUUCAUUCAAAUUUCUGCCCUAUCAACUUUCGAUGGUAAGGUAUUGGCUUACCAUGGUUUCAACGGGUAACGGGGAAUUAGGGUUCUAUUCCGGAGAGGGAGCCUGAGAAACGGCUACCACAUCCAAGGAAGGCAGCAGGCGCGCAAAUUACCCAAUCCCGACACGGGGAGGUAGUGACAAUAAAUACUGAUACAGGGCUCUUUUGGGUCUUGUAAUUGGAAUGAGUACAAUUUAAAUCCCUUAACGAGGAACAAUUGGAGGGCAAGUCUGGUGCCAGCAGCCGCGGUAAUUCCAGCUCCAAUAGCGUAUAUUAAAGUUGUUGCAGUUAAAAAGCUCGUAGUUGAACCUUGGGCCUGGCUGGCCGGUCCGCCUCACCGCGUGCACUGGUCCGGCCGGGCCUUUCCUUCUGGGGAGCCGCAUGCCAUUCAUUUGGUGUGUCGGGGAUCCAGGACUUUUACUUUGAAAAAAUUAGAGUGUUCAAAGCAGGCCUAUGCUCGAAUACAUUAGCAUGGAAUAAUAGAAUAGGACGUGUGGUUCUAUUUUGUUGGUUUCUAGGACCGCCGUAAUGAUUAAUAGGGAUAGUCGGGGGCAUCAGUAUUCAAUUGUCAGAGGUGAAAUUCUUGGAUUUAUUGAAGACUAACUACUGCGAAAGCAUUUGCCAAGGAUGUUUUCAUUAAUCAGUGAACGAAAGUUAGGGGAUCGAAGACGAUCAGAUACCGUCGUAGUCUUAACCAUAAACUAUGCCGACUAGGGAUCGGGCGAUGUUAUCUUUUUGACUCGCUCGGCACCUUACGAGAAAUCAAAGUCUUUGGGUUCUGGGG
rnacentral:rRNA from 1 species